rnacentral:rRNA from 1 species
GAUGAACGCUGGCGGCGUGCCUAAUACAUGCAAGUCGAGCGAACGGACGAGAAGCUUGCUUUUCUGAUGUUAGCGGCGGACGGGUGGGUAACACGUGGAUAACCUACCUAUAAGACUGGGAUAACCUCGGGAAACCGGAGCUAAUACCGGAUAAUAUUUUGAACCGCAUGGUUCAUAAGUGAAAGACGGUCUUGCUGUCACUUAUAGAUGGAUCCGCGCUGCAUUAGCUAGUUGGUAAGGUAACGGCUUACCAAGGCAACGAUGCAUAGCCGACCUGAGAGGGUGAUCGGCCACACUGGAACUGAGACACGGUCCAGACUCCUACGGGAGGCAGCAGUAGGGAAUCUUCCGCAAUGGGCGAAAGCCUGACGGAGCAACGCCGCGUGAGUGAUGAAGGUCUUCGGAUCGUAAAACUCUGUUAUUAGGGAAGAACAUAUGUGUAAGUAACUGUGCACAUCUUGACGGUACCUAAUCAGAAAGCCACGGCUAACUACGUG